GGGCGAGCUGGGCAUUGGAGAGCCCAAGGGCCUGUAAAGCCCCCGCUUCGGCUGUGCCGGUUCGAAUCCGGCCUCGCCCACCA
rnacentral:tRNA from 1 species